GGAAAACAGUGUUUGAGUGAAAACAGAAGAAUCUUAGCUAGUAAGAUGAAAUUUCUUGUUGUUUUUGCUUGCGUGAUAAUACUUGUUUCUUCAGGUGAGAUAAAAGAACAAGUAAAAAAUGUAAUAUCACAAACUAAGGCCGAACAAUCAUUUGAAACGUGUAUGAACGAGAAAAAUAUGACUAGGAGUGACUGGUUCUCAGAGGAC